rnacentral:rRNA from 1 species
GUUGAUCCUGCGGGCGAUUGCUGCUAUCAGGAUUCGACUUAGCCAUGCAAGUCAGGUAGCAAUACCGGCAAACUGCUCAGUAACACGUCGAUAAUCUCCCUAUGGUCGGGGAUAAUCACGGGAAACUGUGUGUAAACCCCGAUGGGAGAAAUGCUCUGGAAUAAGGCUUUCUUUAAAACUCGAGCCAUAGGAUGAGUCGGCGGCCGAUUAGGCUGUUGGCGGUGUAAAGGACCACCAAACCAACGAUCGGUAGGGGCCUUGAAAGAGGUAGCCCCGAGAAGGACACUGAGAUACUGGUCCUAGCCCUACGGGGUGCAGCAGGCGCGAAACCUUUACAAUGCACGAAAGUGUGAUAAGGGGAUCCUGAGUGCUCAUACAAAGUAUGGGCUCUUUUUAAGAGUAAAAAUCUUGAAGAAUAAGUGGUGGGCAAGACUGGUGCCAGCCGCCGCGGUAACACCAGCGCCACAAGUGGCAAUCAUAUAUUUGGCCUUAAGCGUUCGUAGCUGGUCUUGAAAAUCUUUUGUGAAAUUGUUAAUGUCAACUUAACAGCGUGCGAAAGACACUCCAAGACUUGAGACCGGGAGGAGUCAGAGGUAUUCUUGGGGGAACGGUAAAAUGUUAUAAUCCCAAGAGGACCACCAGUGGCGAAGGCGUCUGACUAGAACGGAUCUGACAGUGAGGGACGAAAGCUAGGGGAGCGAUCCGGAUUAGAUACCCGAGUAGUCCUAGCCGUAAACACUGCGAGCUGGGUGUUGCACAAACUACGGGUUUGUGCAGUGUCGAAACGAAGGUGUUAAGCUCGCCGCCUGGGAAGUACGGUCGCAAGACUGAAACUUAAAGGAAUUGGCGGGGGAGCACUACAAGGGGUGCGGCGUGCGGUUUAAUCUAACUCAACGCAGAACAUCUUACUAGUGCCGACGGCAGAAUGAAGGUCAGUCUGAAGGGCUUACCUGACGAGCCGAGAGGUAGUGCAUGGCCGUCGUCAGCUCGUGCCGCAAGGUGUCCAGUUAAGUCUGGCAACGAGCGAGACCUGUAUCUGCAAUUGCUAACGGCUGCAAAGGACUGAGCACAUUGCAGGGACUGCUUCCGAAAGGGAGAGGAAGGUGCAGGCUACGGUAGGUCUGUAUGCUCCGAAUGCACUAGGCUACACGCGCGCAACAAUGGUAAGGACAAUGGGCUACAACCCUGAAAAGGGAAGUCAAUCCUCGAAACCUUACCCUAGUACAAAUUGAGGGUUGGAACUCACCCUCAUGACGUCGGAAUCCCUAGUAAUCAGGGUUCAUCACACCCUGGUGAAUAUGUCCCUGCUCCUUGCACACACCGCCCGUCAAACCAACCGAGCAGGGUUUAGAUGAGUUUUAGUUUUCUUGAUUAAACCGAAUCUAAGCUCAGUGAGGUGGGUUAAGUCGGCACAAGGUA